CCUACGGGAGGCAGCAGUGAGGAAUAUUGGUCAAUGGACGAGAGUCUGAACCAGCCAAGUAGCGUGAAGGAUGACUGCUCUAUGGUUUGUAAACUUCUUUUAUAAAGGAAUAAAACGAGGCACGUGUGCCUUUUUGCAUGUACUUUAUGAAUAAGGAUCGGCUAACUCCGUGCCAGCAGCCGCGGUAAUACGGAGGUUCCGAGCGUUGUCCGGAUUUAAUGGGUUUAAAGGGAGCGUAGAUGGGUUGUUAAGUCAGUUGUGAAAGUUUGCGGCUCAACCGUAAAAUUGCAAUUGAUACUGGCAGUCUUGAGUACAGUUGAGGUAAGCGGAAUUCGGGGUGUAGCGGUGAAAUGCUUAGAUAUCACGAGGAACCCCGAUUGCGAAGGCAGCUUACUAAGCUGUAACUGACGUUGAUGCUCGAAAGUGUGGGUAUCAAACAGGAUUAGAUACCCGUGUAGUC
rnacentral:rRNA from 1 species